UACAGAGGUCUCAAGCGUUGUUCGGAUUCAUUGGGCGUAAAGGGUGCGUAGGCGGUCGGGUAAGUCUGACGUGAAAUCUCCGGGCUUAACCCGGAAACUGCCAUUGAUACUAUUUGUCUUGAAUACUGUGGAGGUCAGCGGAAUAUGUCAUGUAGCGGUGAAAUGCUUAGAUAUGACAUAGAACACCAAUUGCGAAGGCAGCUGGCUACACAAAUAUUGACACCGAGGCACGAAAGCGUGGGGAUCAAACAGG
rnacentral:rRNA from 1 species